GAUGAACGCUAGCGGCAGGCUUAACACAUGCAAGUCGAGGGGUAUAGGUUUUCGGACCUAGAGACCGGCGCACGGGUGCGUAACGCGUAUGCAAUCUACCUUGUACAGGGGGAUAGCCCAGAGAAAUUUGGAUUAAUACCCCAUAGUAUCAUAGAAUGGCAUCAUUUUAUAAUUAAAGUUCCAACGGUACAAGAUGAGCAGGCGUCCCAUUAGCUAGUUGGUAUGGUAACGGCAUACCAAGGCUACGAUGGGUAGGGGUCCUGAGAGGGGGGAGCCCGACACUGGUACUGGAGACGGGACCAGACUCCUACGGGAGGCAGAAGUGAGGUAUAUUUGUCAAGGGACGCACAUCUGAACCAGCGAUGACGCCUGCAGGAUGACGGUCUUAUGGAUGCUAACCUGCUUUUGUAGAGGAAGAAACACCCCUACGUGUAGGAACUUGACGUUACUGUAAGAAUAAGGAUCGGCUAACUCCGUGCCAGCCGCCGCCGUAA
rnacentral:rRNA from 1 species